rnacentral:tRNA from 1 species
AAAAAAAUAAGCUAAACAAGCUAUUGGGUUCAUACCUCAAGUAUAAAGGUUUUAUCCUUUUUUUUUUA